rnacentral:rRNA from 1 species
UGGGGAAUGUUGGGCAAUGGGGGAAACCCUGACCCAGCAACGCCGCGUGAGGGAAGAAGGUCUUCGGAUUGUAAACCUUUGUCCUAUGGGACGAAAGAAAUGACGGUACCAUAGGAGGAAGCUCCGGCUAACUACGUGCCAGCAGCCGCGGUAAUACGUAGGGAGCAAGCGUUGUCCGGAAUUACUGGGCGUAAAGGGUGCGUAGGUGGUCAUGUAAGUCAGAUGUGAAAGACCGGGGCUUAACCCCGGGGUUGCAUUUGAAACUGUGUGACUUGAGUACAGGAGAGGGAAGUGGAAUUCCUAGUGUAGCGGUGA